UCCUUUGGGCCGGUGUUAAACGCAUGGAAGACUAACAUCCACAGUCAUCUUAUAUUUCAAGAUUAAUCAAUCUACAUAAAAGAGGUUACUUUGGCAACAUAAUGCUUCAAUUGACUAAUUUAAAAUAUUAGAUGCUAAAUCAUACAGUUCCUUAAGUUAUAUAUUGAAUCUUAACUGAAAAUUUACAUGUUUUGACAUGUAUCAUCUGAAUAUUAAUUGUUUUAGUCUUAAUUGGAUAAUACCAAAAUCUG
rnacentral:lncRNA from 1 species